UUGUGAAAAGACAGAUCCAUGCGUCUGACCCCCUCCAAGCGGAGUUUAGCGGGCUGGAGCAAGGAACGUCAUACAACGUCACCGUCAUCAGCAAACGUGGUGACGUCAGGAGUGCCGGCGUCACUGUCACCAUAACAACGGUGGGUGGGUACGAAGAGCCCAGCAUGCUGCUCCAAAGAUUCAACGGAGAGGAGCAGACUAAAAUUCACCAUGUUCUAAUUUACAAGGACAAAAUCUCCCUGCGUGAACCUCUAGGAAAUGGAAACUUUGGGGAAGUCCGCCAUGGCAUCUGCAGAAAGGGCAAGAGAUGGAUGGAAUGUGCUGUGAAGACAUUGUACG